UACAGAGGGGGCAAGCGUUGUUCGGAAUUACUGGGCGGAAAGUGUGCGCAGGCGGCCGAGCAAGUCGAGUGUGAAAGCCCCGAGCUUAACUUGGGAACUGCGCUCGAAACUACUUGGCUAGAGUGUGGCAGGGGGAGGUGGAAUUCCACGUGUAGCGGUGAAAUGCGUAGAGAUGUGGAGGAACACCGAUGGCGAAGGCAGCCUCCUGGGCCAACACUGACGCUGAGGAGCGAAAGCGUGGGGAGCAAACAGG
rnacentral:rRNA from 1 species